rnacentral:rRNA from 1 species
UACGAAGGGGGCUAGCGUUGUUCGGAAUUACUGGGCGUAAAGCGCACGUAGGCGGAUUUGUUAGUCAGGGGUGAAAUCCCGGGGCUCAACCUCGGAACUGCCUUUGAUACUGCAAGUCUCGAGUCCGGAAGAGGUGAGUGGAAUUCCUAGUGUAGAGGUGAAAUUCGUAGAUAUUAGGAAGAACACCAGUGGCGAAGGCGGCUCACUGGUCCGGUACUGACGCUGAGGUGCGACAGCGUGGGGAGCUAACAGG